GAAGUAAAAAGUCGUAACAAGGUCUCCGUUGGUGAACCAGCGGAGGGAUCAUUACCGAGUUUACAACUCCCAAACCCAUGUGAAUCUUACCUUUUCGUUGCUUCGGCGGGAUCGCCCCGGGCGCCAUCGUGUGCCCCGGACCCAGGCGCCCGCCGGGGGACCUAAACUCUUGUAUUACUUUUGUUUUCUCUGAGUGGAUUACACAAAUAAUCAAAACUUUCAACAACGGAUCUCUUGGUUCUGGCAUCGAUGAAGAACGCAGCGAAAUGCGAAAAGUAAUGUGAAUUGCAGAAUUCAGUGAAUCAUCGAAUCUUUGAACGCACAUUGCGCCCGCCAGUAUUCUGGCGGGCAUGCCUGUCUGAGCGUCAUUUCAACCCUCAUGCCCUAGCGGCGUGGUGUUGGGGCUCGGCCUGAACUUGCUUCGGGCCGUCCCCUAAAUCUAGUGGCGGACCCGCUGUGGCCUCCUCUGCGUAGUAGUAAUAUUUCGCAUGUGGAGAGCAGCAGGCCCCUGCCGUAAAACCCCAACUUUUUCAGGUUGACCUCAGAUCAGGUAGGAAUACCCGCUGAACUUAAGCAUAUCAAUAAGCGGAGGAA
rnacentral:rRNA from 1 species